rnacentral:rRNA from 1 species
UCGAACGAUGAACCACUUCGGUGGGGAUUAGUGGCGAACGGAUGAGUAACAAGAAGGAACAGGGCUGCCCUGCACUCUGGGACAAGCCCUGGAAACGGGGUCUAAUACCGGAUACUGAUCCUCGCAGGCAUCUGCGAGGUUCGAAAGCUCCGGCGGCGCAGGAUGAGCCCGCGGCCUAUCAGCUAGUUGGUGAGGUAACGGCUCACCAAGGCGACGACGGGUAGCCGGCCUGAGAGGGCGACCGGCCACACUGGGACUGAGACACGGCCCAGACUCCUACGGGAGGCAGCAGUGGGGAAUAUUGCACAAUGGGCGAAAGCCUGAUGCACCGACGCCGCGUGAGGGAUGACGGCCUUCGAGUUGUAAACCUCUUUCAGCAGGGAAAAGCGAAAGUGACGGUACCUGCAGAAGAAGCGCCGGCUAACUACGUGCCAGCAGCCGCGGUAAUACGUAGGGCGCAUCCGUUGUCCGGAAUUAUUG